rnacentral:misc_RNA from 1 species
UUUCCGUAGGUGAACCUGCGGAGGGAUCAUUACUGUGUUAGGGCUUCGGCCCGACAUCCAACCCUUUGUGAACCAAACUUGUUGCUUCGGGGGCGACCCUGCCGCUUCGGCGGUGCGGCGCCCCCGGAGGCCAUUAAACACUGCAUCAUUGCGUCGGAGUUAAAGUAAAUUAAACAAAACUUUCAACAACGGAUCUCUUGGUUCCAGCAUCGAUGAAGAACGCAGC